CUCAUCUCUGCCCCUCCAACCCUUUUUGAAGUGGGCUUCUCUCUAGGACUAACUGCGGAGGAUCUUCUCUGACAGUCUCAGAUCAUUUUCAGAGUAAGUUACAAUGCAUAUAGCUGUUUCCUCAAUGUGUCCAUGGGAGGAAGUGAGCUCAGGAUCCCUACUCUGCCAUUUUCCUCUGGGAUUUCACCCAUGGGGUCUGCAAGACCUUAGCCUUCAACAGGAGUGGGCUCAUUUGGGAAGGUGAAAACACCAUUGCGGCUCCCUGGGAAGCUGUUUUGGAGGUGGGCCUUUCACUGUCUU
rnacentral:lncRNA from 1 species